rnacentral:rRNA from 1 species
UACGUAGGGGGCUAGCGUUGUCCGGAAUCAUUGGGCGUAAAGAGCGUGUAGGCGGCCCGGUAAGUCCGCUGUGAAAGUCGGGGGCUCAACCCUCGAAUGCCGGUGGAUACUGUCGGGCUAGAGUGCGGAAGAGGCGAGUGGAAUUCCCGGUGUAGCGGUGAAAUGCGCAGAUAUCGGGAAGAACACCGGUGGCGAAGGCGGCUCUCUGGACCUGUCCUGACGCUCAGGCGCGAAAGCUAGGGGAGCGAACAGG